CUCUCCAUGGGGUCCCCACGGGGUCCCCAAAGGUGUCCCUCAGGGGACCCCAAAUGGGAUGAAAUGACCCCAAAGGGCCCCCAUAUGGGCUCAAAUGGCCCCAAAGGGUCCCCAAAUGGGAUCAGAUGUCACCAAAGGGGACCCCAAAUGGGAUCAAAUGGCCCCAAAGGGUCCCCAAAUGGGAUCAGAUGUCACAAAAGGGUCCCCAAAUGGGCUCAAAUGGCCCCAAAGGGUCCCCAAAUGGGAUCAGAUGUCACAAAAGGGGACCCCAAAUGGGAUCAAAUGGCCCCAAAGGGUCCCCAAAUGGGAUCAAAUGUCACCAAAGGGCCCCCAAAUGGGAUCAGAUGUCACCAAAGGGGACCCCAAAUGGGAUCAGCUGUCACCAAAGGGUCCCCAAAUGGGCUCAAACGACCCCAAAGGGGCCCCCAAAUGAACCCAAAUGGGCUGAAAUGUCCCCAUGGUGUCCCCAAAUGCCCCCAGGUCACCCCAUAGUGGCCCUAUGAUGUCCCCCCAUAGUGCCCCCAUAGUGUCCCCAAAUACCCCCAUGAUGUCCCCCAAAUGCCCCCAUAGUGUCCCCAAAUGUCCCCCAACGCCACUAUAGUGUCUGUAUGAUGCCCCCAAAUCCCCCCAUGAUGCCCCCCUAUGCCCCCAU
ensembl:lncRNA